rnacentral:rRNA from 1 species
AUGGGUGGGUUCUGGCCCAAAAUGAACGCUAAUGGUAGGCUUGACACAUGCGAGUUGGAUGUUUUUAAAGCUUUAUGCUGUAAAAACAUAGCGAACGGGUGAGGAAAAUUUAUAAUUGUGCCUUAAAGACUGGUAUAAAAUCCCAGAUAAUGAAACGUUAUUUCUAUAACGCUUUUUGAUCAAUAUAAAUGGGGGUAUUGGAGUAAAAUCUUAAGCUUCUAGUCGGUUCAAUAAGAUGGACGACCACAUUGGGACUGAGACAAGGCCCAAACUUAAUUUAGAGGCAGCAGUGCGGAAUAUUGGACAAUGAGCGAAAGCUUGAUCCAGCCAUACCAUGACAGUGAAGACGGUAAAAAUUCUGUAAAACUUUUCUUUUAUAGUUUAGAAACUUGACUUACUAUAAAAAAGCUCUGACAAAAUUUCGUGCCAGCAGUCGCGGUUAAACGAUAAGAGCAAGUGUUAUUUAAUAACUAGGCGUAAAGAGUUCGUAGACGGUAAUUUUUAUUCAAAACCAAAGGACAAAGAUCGAUUUUGUAGUGUUUCUGAAAAUAUUUUUACUAGAGUUUUAAAGAAGUAAAUAGAAUUCUUAGUGUAGGGGUAAAAACUGAAGAUACUAAGAGGAAUUCCUAUAAGGCGAAGGCCUUUUACUAUUUAAAUACUGACGUUUAAAGACGAAGGCGUGGGUAGCAAACGGGAUUAGGCACCCCGGUAGUCCACGCAGACAAAGCUGAGUACUUUCAUUUUGUAUUUUAUAAAAUGAUGAUGGUAUCCUAAAAGUACUCCGCCUGGAGAGUAUAGUCGCAAGGCCGAAACUCAAAGAACCUGACGGGGGCCUUUACAAGCGGUGGAGCAUGUGGUUUAAUUCGAUAAUACGCGAAAAACCUUACCAGUUUUCGAUACUGUUUUUUGAAACUAACCUUUCAUUUUAUAAGUAUUUUAGGUGUUGCAUGGCUGCCGUCAAUCCGUGCUGUGAGGCGUCUGGUUAAUUCUACUAACGGAUGUAACCCCUAUUUUUAGUUGUUUAUAUAAGUUUUUAUAUUUUACUCUAAAAAGCAUAGAUUAAUUAAUAGUUAAAGGAAGCUAGGGAUAAAGUCAAGUCGUUAUGGCCCGAUGAUAAGCUGGGCUACACACGUGCUACAUAGGUUAAUUCAAAAAGAUGCUAUUUCGUAAGAUGAAGCAAAUCUUUAAAAUUAAUCAAGGUACAGAUUGUGGACUGCAACUCGUCCACAUGAAGGAGGAAUCGCUAGUAAUCGUAGAUAAGCACGCUACGGUGAAUAAGUUACAAGGCCUUGUACAUACCGCCCGUCACAUUGUGGGAGUUUAUUAGAUUUGAAGAUUGGUUUCGACCUCUUAAGAGUUUGAUAGAUAACCGUGAUGAAGUCGUAACAAGGUAGCUGUAGGGGAACCUGCGGCUG